rnacentral:rRNA from 1 species
GAUGAACGCUGGCGGCGUGCUUAACACAUGCAAGUCGAACGAUGAAGCCCAGCUUGCUGGGUGGAUUAGUGGCGAACGGGUGAGUAACACGUGAGUAACCUGCCCUUAACUCUGGGAUAAGCCUGGGAAACUGGGUCUAAUACCGGAUAGGAGCGUCCACCGCAUGGUGGGUGUUGGAAAGAUUUAUCGGUUUUGGAUGGACUCGCGGCCUAUCAGCUUGUUGGUGAGGUAAUGGCUCACCAAGGCGACGACGGGUAGCCGGCCUGAGAGGGUGACCGGCCACACUGGGACUGAGACACGGCCCAGACUCCUACGGGAGGCAGCAGUGGGGAAUAUUGCACAAUGGGCGCAAGCCUGAUGCAGCGACGCCGCGUGAGGGAUGACGGCCUUCGGGUUGUAACCCUCUUUCAGUAGGGAAGAAGCGAAAGUGACGGUACCUGCAGAAGAAGCACCGGCUAACUACGUG